CAACCUAGAGGUACGCUGAGUAACCCUAACCAACCUCAUAGUGGAACCUCAACCUAGAGGUACGCUGAGUAACCCUAACCAACCUCAAGCUAGAGGUACGCUGAGUAACCCUAACCAACCUCAUAGUGGAACCUCAACCUAGAGGUACGCUGAGUAACCCUAACCAACCUCGUAGUGGAACCUCAAGCUAGAGGUACGCUGAGUAACCCUAACCAACCUCAUAGUGGAACCUCAACCUAGAGGUACGCUGAGUAACCCUAACCAACCUCAAGCUAGAGGUACGCUGAGUAACCCUAACCAACCUCAUAGUGGAACCUCAACCUAGAGGUACGCUGAGUAACCCUAACCAACCUCGUAGUGGAACCUCAAGCUAGAGGUACGCUGAGUAACCCUAACCAACCUGGUAGUGGAACCUCAAGUUAGAGGUACGCUGAGUAACCCUAACCAACCUCAACCUAGAGGUACGCUGAGUAACCCUAACCAACCUCAUAGUGGAACCUCAAUCUAGAGGUACACUGAGUAACCCUAUCCAACCUCAAUCUAGAGGUACACUGAGUAACCCUAUCCAACCUCAAGCUAGAGGUACGCUGAGUAACCCUAUCCAACCUCAAUCUAGAGGUACACUGAGUAACCCUAUCCAACCUCAAGCUAGAGGUACGCUGAGUAA